GCCUACGACCUAAAUGCUUCAAGGCAUCGUGUUCUAUUCGAGUAGCAAGUACAUUGACUUUCACACGUCUAGCCCCUUACCUGCAGGUAGUUGUUAGCUCCGGCAGCUCCAAAUACUCCUAGAAGUUUCAAGACCACCAAGUACUCCUGCGGAGUCAUUAAUGCUCUUGGACACCGUUAUUUCACCAAGAACAUGAUCAUUGGGACAUGCCAAGCUGAUUGUAAAUUAUUGUAUUUUUUGUGAUACGAUGUAAUUGUAAAUUAUUUUA